GACGAACGCUGGCGGCGUGCUUAACACAUGCAAGUCGAACGGAAAGGCCCUGCUUUUGUGGGGUGCUCGAGUGGCGAACGGGUGAGUAACACGUGAGUAACCUGCCCUUGACUUUGGGAUAACUUCAGGAAACUGGGGCUAAUACCGGAUAGGAGCUCCUGCUGCAUGGUGGGGGUUGGAAAGUUUCGGCGGUUGGGGAUGGACUCGCGGCUUAUCAGCUUGUUGGUUGGGUAGUGGCUUACCAAGGCUUUGACGGGUAGCCGGCCUGAGAGGGUGACCGGACAAAUUGGGACUGAGAUACGGCCCAGAAUCCUACGGGAGGCAGCAGGGGGGAAUAUUGCACAAUGGGAGGAAGCCUGAUGCAGCAACGCCGCGUGCGGGAUGACGGCCUUCGGGUUGUAAACCGCUUUCGCCUGUGACGAAGCGUGAGUGACGGUAAUGGGUAAAGAAGCACCGGCUAACUACGUG
rnacentral:rRNA from 1 species